rnacentral:rRNA from 1 species
AUUGAACGCUGGCGGCAUGCUUUACACAUGCAAGUCGGACGGCAGCACAGAGAAGCUUGCUUCUUGGGUGGCGAGUGGCGAACGGGUGAGUAACAUAUCGGAACGUACCGAGUAAUGGGGGAUAACUAAUCGAAAGAUUAGCUAAUACCGCAUAUUCUCUGAGGAGGAAAGCAGGGGACCUUCGGGCCUUGCGUUAUUCGAGCGGCCGAUAUCUGAUUAGCUAGUUGGUGGGGUAAAGGCCUACCAAGGCGACGAUCAGUAGCGGGUCUGAGAGGAUGAUCCGCCACACUGGGACUGAGACACGGCCCAGACUCCUACGGGAGGCAGCAGUGGGGAAUUUUGGACAAUGGGCGCAAGCCUGAUCCAGCCAUGCCGCGUGUCUGAAGAAGGCCUUCGGGUUGUAAAGGACUUUUGUCAGGGAAGAAAAGGACAGGGUUAAUACCUCUGUUUGAUAGACGGUACCUGAAGAAUAAGG